rnacentral:rRNA from 1 species
UACGUAGGUGACAAGCGUUGUCCGGAUUUACUGGGCGUAAAGAGCGCGCAGGCGGUCGAUCAAGUCGAGUGUGAAAGCCCCCGGCUCAACUGGGGAGGGUCAUUCGAUACUGAUCGACUCGAAGGCAGGAGAGGGUAGUGGAAUUCCCGGUGUAGUGGUGAAAUGCGUAGAUAUCGGGAGGAACACCAGUGGCGAAGGCGGGUCUCUGGGCCGAUACUGACGCUGAGGAGCGAAAGCGUGGGGAGCGAACAGG